rnacentral:rRNA from 1 species
GACGAACGCUGGCGGCGUGCUUAACACAUGCAAGUCGAACGGAAAGGCCCUGCUUUCGUGGGGUGCCCGAGUGGCGAACGGGUGCGUAACACGUGAGUAACCUGCUCUUGACUUUGGGAUAACUUCACGAAACUGGGCUUACUACCAUAUCGGAGCCCAUCUUGCAGGGAGGGGGUUGGAAAGUCUCGGCGGUCGGGGAUGGACUGGCGGGUUACCAGCUUGCUGGUGGGGUAGGGGCUUACCAAGCCAUUGACGGGUCGCCGGCAUGGGAGGGUGACCGGCGACAUUGGGACUGCGAGAGGGACCAGACUCGUAUGUGAGACAGCAGUGGGGAAUAUUGCACAAUGGGCGGAAGCCUGAUGAAGAAGCGCCGCGUGCGUAAUGACGGCCUUUUGGUUGUAAACCGCUUUAGCCUGUGACGAAGCGUGAGUGACGGUAAUGGGUAAAGAAGCACCGGCUAACUACGUG